GACGAACGCUGGCGGCGUGCUUAACACAUGCAAGUCGAACGGAGUGGCGAACGGGUGAGUAACACGUGGGUGAUCUGCCUUGCACUCUGGGAUAAGCUUGGGAAACUGGGUCUAAUACCGGAUAGUGCAAGAUGAGCUCGCGGCCUAUCCGCUUGUUGGGGGGGUAAUGGCCUACCAAGGCGUCGACGGGUAGCCGGCCUGCGAGGGUGUACGGCAACAUUGGGAGGUAGAGACGGCCCAGAUGCCUACGGGAGGCAGCAGUGGGGAAUAUUGCACAAUGGGCGGAAGCCUGAGGCAGCGACGCCGCGGGGGGGAUGACGGCCUUCGGGUUGUAAACUCCUUUCGACAGGGACGCGGUACCGGUAUAAGAAGCACCGGCUAACUACGUGCCAGCCGCCGCGGUAAUUC
rnacentral:rRNA from 1 species